GCGGCAAAGUCACCAAGAUCAAAGAGAUCGACUUCACUUCUACCACCUCGGAUGCAUCUACUGAGGUUGAUCAGAAUCCUUUCCCAGUGCAUGUGUUGGAAUUGAAAAAUCCUAAAGUGCUAGUUCGGCCGAGUCAAGCCGAAUCAACCAAGGGGAAGAAUGUAGUUAUUGGUGAUGAAAGAC